CUGCAACCCGCCUGCGUGAAGUCGGAAUCGCUAGUAAUCGCGGAUCAGCAUGCCGCGGUGAAUACGUUCCCGGGCCUUGUACACACCGCCCGUCACACCAUGAGAGUCGGGAACACCCGAAGUCCGUAGCCUAACCGCAAGGAGGGCGCGGCCGAAGGUGGGUUCGAUAAUUGGGGUGAAGUCGUAACAAGGUAGC
rnacentral:rRNA from 1 species